rnacentral:misc_RNA from 1 species
CUGAGUUCGGGGGCAAUCCCAGUCCCGACCUCCAACCCUUUGUGAACUUAUCUUGUUGCUUCGGGGGCGACCCUGCCGUUCGCGGCAUUCCCCCCGGAGGCCUUCCAACACUGCAUCUCUGCGUCGGAGUUUAAGUAAAUUAAACA